rnacentral:rRNA from 1 species
AGCAGUGGGGAAUUUUGGACAAUGGGCGCAAGCCUGAUCCAGCCAUGCCGCGUGCAGGAUGAAGGCCUUCGGGUUGUAAACUGCUUUUGUACGGAACGAAAAGCCCCCUUCUAAUAAAGGGGGGUGAUGACGGUACCGUAAGAAUAAGCACCGGCUAACUACGUGCCAGCAGCCGCGGUAAUACGUAGGGUGCAAGCGUUAAUCGGAAUUACUGGGCGUAAAGCGUGCGCAGGCGGUUAUGUAAGACAGAGGUGAAAUCCCCGGGCUCAACCUGGGAACUGCCUUUGUGACUGCAUAGCUUGAGUGCGGCAGAGGGGGAUGGAAUUCCGCGUGUAGCAGUGAAAUGCGUAGAUAUGCGGAGGAACACCGAUGGCGAAGGCAAUCCCCUGGGCCUGCACUGACGCUCAUGCACGAAAGCGUGGGGAGCAAACAGGAUUAGAUACCCUGGUAGUCCACGCCCUAAACGAUGUCAACUGGUUGUUGGGAAUUAACUUUCUCAGUAACGAAGCUAACGCGUGAAGUGACCGCAUGGGAGAG